CUUAAUAAUAACAGACAGGCGUGUUGGAGCUGAGUUGGAACUGCAGGAUGGUAGCUAACCAGGAACACCUGUUUACUCUUGGAGAAUUCGAGCAGUUGUAGAGCAGUAUGGUCAGUAAACUGCAGUACUGGGUUUGUCACCCCUGCCUGAGGACACCAACCAUGUGGUGAGAAGUAUGAGAGCGGCAUCUCCACCGGCAUCUGCCUCCGAUGUCAUCAAACAACAGCAGAGACGUGCCAGAAGAGAACACAAGGUUUUUAAAAAAUAAUUUUUUUUUUGGAUUAAAGAAAAAUUAGAAUUGUAAACUUUGGAUAGAAGUGAACGUAACAUGGCGGGUCUUUCUUGAACAUAAAUGAUGACAGAUUACAGGACUCUAGAAGGUGUGAAGCUGUGAUCAUCUUGCAGAAGUGCUUCUUCAUCCAUUGCCUGGUAGCAGUUUGGUACCAGUUUCAGCAGAUGGCGCUCACCUUUCCAAUCUCACGGCUCUUGGCUCUUAGCUUGUUGACCUGAGACUCUGCAAUAUCAGCGCGUUCCUGUGACUCCUCCAUCUCAUGCUGCACCUUCCUGUAUCU